CAUGUAUUGCAAGAAUUCCAAGAAAUCCCAGAAAGAGUCAUGUCUUCUGGCUUGUGCUUGAAAUUCCAUAGGUUCCAAGACUUGCACAAACUCUACAACUGCUCUUUUAACUUUCUCAACACUACAAUACAGGAAUACAGACCACGAUUACCAAAUGUGUGCUGCAUGUUCAGACGCGGACGCACGCAGAACACAGGCCUGGUUUCGCAGCUCAACAGAUCAGCACAUAAAGGAAUCCAAACACAAGAGCAUGACCUGUAGGCUGUAAAUUAUGAGAACUGACAUUACAGCCUUCCCCCACAUACAGAGAUACAUACAUAUACAGCCAUUCUGUCGAGAUGUCAGCAGUCAAUGAAUUCCAGAUGGUGCAUUUGGAGAGCAGCAGCCAUGCCAGUUAUAUAUCCAUGUUAUCUUUGUAGUAUGUUUAUACAUACUUUGCCUUCCUCCUGUGAGAUACUAUAUAUGUGAUAUACUGUAGGGGAGAAACCAAUGGCUAGUCACACUUU